AUUGAACGCUGGCGGCAUGCUUUACACAUGCAAGUCGAACGGCAGCACGGGGGCAACCCUGGUGGCGAGUGGCGAACGGGUGAGUAACACAUCGGAACGUGCCCAGUUGUGGGGGAUAACCUAUCGAAAGGUAGGCUAAUACCGCAUGAGCUCGGCAAGAGGAAAGCGGGGGACUCAGCGAUGGGCCUCGCGCGACUGGAGCGGCCGAUGUCCGAUUAGCUAGNGGUGGGGUAAGGCUUACCAAGGCGACGAUCGGUAGCUGGUCUGAGAGGAUGAUCAGCCACACUGGGACUGAGACACGGCCCAGACUCCUACGGGAGGCAGCAGU
rnacentral:rRNA from 1 species